AUUGAACGCUGGCGGCAGGCCUAACACAUGCAAGUCGAACGAGUGGCGGACGGGUGAGUAAUGUAUGGGGACUGCCCGAUAGAGGGGGAUAUCCACUGGAAACGGUCUCUAAUCCCGCAUUCUAUAGGGUCACACAUAUGGGUUUAGCUAGUAGGUGGGGUAAGGGCACACCUAGGCGACGAUCCCUAGCUGGUCUGAGAGGAUGAUCAGCCACACUGGGACUGAGACACGGCCCAGACUCCUACGGAGGCAGCAGUGGGGAAUAUUGCACAAUGGGCGCAAGCCUGAUGCAGCCAUGCCGCGUGUAUGAAGAAGGCCCUAGGGUUGUAAAGUACUUUCAGUCGGGAGGCGUUACCGACAGAAGAAGCACCGGCUAACUCCGUGCCAGCAGCCGCGGUAAUUC
rnacentral:rRNA from 1 species